rnacentral:RNase_P_RNA from 1 species
ACAACAAGCCGGCUUAUCGCUGCGAAUUCGUUCGGAGAGGAAAGUCCGGGCAACACAGAGCAUCCUGCUUCCUAACGGGAAGGGGCUUUCCGGGCGACGGGAAAGUUACAGACAGGGCCACAGAAAAUAACCGCCCGUUUUUUUAAUUAAAAAACGGGUAAGGGUGAAAAGGUGCGGUAAGAGCGCACCAGUGCUUUGGGUGACCAGGGCAGCUGGGUAAACCUCAGGAGUUGAAAGACCAAAUAGGUCCCGGAAGUGGAGUUGCUCGCUCCCUGGUUGCUUCGGCAGCCUGUCGGGAUGGGUAGGUUGAUGGAGCCUUGCCGCGAGGCCUGGCCUAGAUAAAUGAUAAGCCGUUGCGGAUUCUUUCCGGAGCGACAGAACCCGGCUUACAGGCUUGUUGCUUUU